rnacentral:rRNA from 1 species
UACCAGCACCCCGAGUGGUCGGGACGAUUAUUGGGCCUAAAGCAUCCGUAGCCGGCCUUACAAGUCCCCCGUUAAAUCCACCUGCUUAACAGAUGGGCUGCGGAAGAUACUAUAGAGCUAGGAGGCGGGAGAGGCAAGCGGUACUCGAUGGGUAGGGGUAAAAUCCGUUGAUCCAUUGGAGACCACCAGUGGCGAAGGCGGCUUGCCAGAAUG